UGGGAGGAAAGGGGGGAAGAGAGAGAGAGGGAGAGAGAGAAUAUCAGGAUUUAAGAGUGCAUGAAUUACCGCUCUACAUCGGGUUACGUAAGAGCUGCCGUCAGAACAGGGGAUCACAGGGAGCAGAGAGAGAGGGAAAGCAGAGAGGAAAUCAGAGAGAGAGAGAGAAGGGACAGAGGCAGAGAGUAAAGAGAGAGAGAAGAGGGAGAAAGAUAGAGAGAAAGGCAGGAAACAGAGAGAAAAAGCAGUGAGCAGAGAUUGCAGGGACAGGCAGAUUACAGAGAGGCUACGAUCCACAGCACACCAGCGACAUGGGCAACACACAGACCUCUUUGUGUCCACUGAGGGAGUGAAGAGACGAGACGAGGACUGGGAAGAGGACAGGACACUGCGAGAGGAAGUGAUUUGAAGAACAACUGUGUUUCUGCAGCUUUUGCUGGGACACCUUGAGUGGCGGAACGGUAAGGGACCAGCUGUGAGUGUCAUCUGGCCAUGAGAGAGUGAGGGAGAAAGGACAUCUACUGCCACUGAGGACAUCUUGGUAUCUUCCUCUCCUGCCUGUCCCCAUGUCUAGAGGAGGGAGGCCCCCGGGUGGGUGGGCCCUGAUGUGGCCCCUGACAUAUGCACUGGCCCUGGCUGCAUGCUCGUCGGUCAGCCCCCUCCUCCAAGAGACCACCUCGGAUCCUCCCAUUGCUACAGAGACACAGACUGAAGUACGGACACAGCCAGACCAUCAGACAGAGGCACAGACUGUGGCACAGACACAGACAGAACUACAGACACAGCCUAAGCUACAGACUGAGUCACCAACAGAGUUAGAGUCACAGGCAGCUACCAGUAACCACACAGGUCUGUUGUGUGUGUCCGUGCUUCCCCCGAGGCGCGGGUCAUUCUAUGUGGAGCAUGGGACAGGGGUGUCGGUGGGUACAGUGCUGGCCUUCUGGUGUAGGGAGGGCUACCAGCUGGUGGGCAGUGAUAAGAUCUCCUGCAGCGUCUGGGCAGGCAAACCCCAGUGGAGCAACUUCCUGCCAGUCUGUGAGGCCAUAUCGAUGCCAGAGGACCGGGGUCUGCGCGUGGCCGUGUUGGCCUCAGUGGUCAGUGGCAUCGUCAUCCUGGCAAUGUCUCUCUCCUUCAUCAUCUGCUGCCUGCAGGAACGCAUUGGGAAGGACAGGGCCACCAGGAGGGACGGCAGGAGCAGGCGUAGAGACGCGCAGUCUCGGCGUAGUGAGUGCUGGCUGGAGAGAGAGGAGGGGGACUGGGACACGUUCCCCCCUCCUAAGAUCUUCCACCUGUCACAGCGGCCGGACCUCCGGCUGGCUGCAGAAAGCCCUGUCUACCUGGGGGGCAUGGCCGGCUUCGACAACCGUGGAUACCAGAGGAGUCAGGAGAGCCUACUGAAGGCCCCGCUUCCUGGUCUGUUCCGGGCAGAGUCAGAUCAUCUACCCCCACCUAGUGCUCCAGAGAGUCCCCACCCCCACCGCCCCAACUGCCCCUGUCUACCUCCACAACAUGCCCUCCAACUCUGCCUCCAACUCCGGAUGUGCUCCCUCACAGCCACACCACAUGCCCCCAUAUCCUACCCCGCAGUAUCCUAUCCACAACUCCACCCCCCAGCGAGUUCCAUGGCAAAUGCAGCCCCAUUGAACUGUCACUGUCCCCUCGCUCUCUCCCUCUCUGGAGGUCAAGGGUCAAUGAGGAAGGAUCAAAUAACACACUAUUCCCUAAUAAGUGCGCUACGUUUGAGCAGAGCCCCAUGCAGCUAACCUCAUACAAGUUUUGGUCAAAAGUAAUGUACUACAUCGGGAAUAAGGUGUUAUUUGUGAUUUGAGAACAGCCCUCAGACCCCUGUCAGCAAGAUGCUUCUACUACUGCAAGAAUGGCUGGAUGGGACACGUGUUACUGUAUAUACUGUAUGAUAUGGACUGACAGACAGAGAGACCAGAGGGUCUUUUCCAGCACUUUCUGACUCCUUGCCUCUUCUCUCACUGAGGAAGCCCUGUCUACUGUUUCUAGUGUAUCUCUACACGGCAGAGGAGGUUUUUCUAUCUCUACCAUUCUCUCUGUGUCUCCUGUCAAGGCUUUUGUUAAUUUUGUGGUGUCCACCAUUUUCAGAAGAGCUAACUUCCUAUUAGUCUUCUGAUUGGUCAAAGUCACCCUCAGACCGGGCCUAUCAGGACACAUCCACUUGUUGAUGUCACUGACUGAAGACUGUGAGAUGUUGUUGGGCGGUGGUCACCAAGUCGCCACCGACCAAAGAAGAAAUGGACUUAGCUGAGGAAAGUGGAUACAGAAAUCAUCCCCAAUACCAUGUAUGGGUGUAUAAUAUAUUAUUCUUAUAGGUCUUCUUAAUAGUCAAAAUCAUGUUUUUCAUGAAAUUGGAUGAUAUUUGGAUGAAAGUAUGAUGACCAAAGUAUGAAAAAUGACUGUUUCGUCUACAUUGAUAAUGUUUGGAUUCUUGGAUUCAGGAAGCGGGAUUAUUAAGGGGAUAGGGUGACAUCACCCUAACUCUCUCAUUUUAAUACACCAAUGGUAACAUGAUAUUCUCUUACCUAAUUUAAAUACGUACCGCCUUGUAACCAGCAUGGAAGAAAGAAAGCGUGUUUGCAGAGGGGCGUGGUUAAUAUAGCUAGAUAGCUACUCUACUGGUUUUAGCUAGUCACUGGCUAGCUAGGUCCUCAGCCAGCGUGGAACUAAAGGGGGGACAGGUCGUUCAAAACUCUGACACAGUUGUCAUGUCAACACAUCCGUCAGUGCUGGUGUGAACCGCAGCACCAGAAACAUGCCAAACGGGAGAUGUAUGAAACAAAUACGUAUAUCAUUGAGGCAAUUUCAAUGUUGUUUGAGUAGCUUUGUGUAUCACUUCCUGGUAGUUAGCCAUGAAAGAAAAAGUAAUUUUCAAAAAUGUUGAGCAUUUAUAUCCCAAAAUAAUAUAAUGGGGGAUAUUUUUGUCACUCAAAAGGUUAUUUUACAUGGGAAUCAGAAUGACUGUUCAGGACAAGUUCACCCAUUAUUUUCCCCCAUUUGUUCUAAAGUUUUGCACUAAAACUUUGGAGAGCUCCUUACCUGUUGUUGAAGUCUUUGUCGUGCGUUUUUCUACGCUGAUAGGAGACUUGGAACAGUCACACCAACUAACCUGCACUUUAUGGAUUUUACUGACGAGCUGGCAAUAGCAAUUGCAAGAACCUUGCACUGACUAUUCCCGCAAUAUGUUUGUAUGAAAAAUGGUUUCUACCUGAAAACUGAUUAAAGAUAUUUUUGUUUAGUUGAA